rnacentral:rRNA from 1 species
GACGAACGCUGGCGGCGUGCCUAAUACAUGCCAGUAGAACGCACAGUUUAUACCGUAGCUUGCUACACCAUACACUGUGAGUUGCGAACGGGUGAGUAACGCGUAGGUAACCUGCCUGGUAGCGGGGGAUAACUAUUGGAAACGAUAGCUAAUACCGCAUAAUAUUAAUUAUUGCAUGAUAAUUGAUUGAAAGAUGCAAUUGCAUCACUACCAGAUGGACCUGCGUUGUAUUAGCUAGUAGGUGAGGUAACGGCUCACCUAGGCGACGAUACAUAGCCGACCUGAGAGGGUGAUCGGCCACACUGGGACUGAGACACGGCCCAGACUCCUACGGGAGGCAGCAGUAGGGAAUCUUCGGCAAUGGACGAAAGUCUGACCGAGCAACGCCGCGUGAGUGAAGAAGGUUUUCGGAUCGUAAAGCUCUGUUGUAAGAGAAGAACGGGUGUGAGAGUGGAAAGUUCACACUGUGACGGUAUCUUACCAGAAAGGGACGGCUAACUACGUG